GAGUUUGAUCCUGGCUCAGGACGAACGCUGGCGGCGUGCUUAACACAUGCAAGUCGAGCGAUGAAGCUCCUUCGGGAGCGGAUUAGCGGCGGACGGGUGAGUAACACGUGGGUAACCUGCCUCAUAGAGGGGAAUAGCCUUUCGAAAGGAAGAUUAAUACCGCAUAAGAUUGUAGUUUCGCAUGAAACAGCAAUUAAAGGAGUAAUCCGCUAUGAGAUGGACCCGCGUCGCAUUAGCUAGUUGGUGAGGUAACGGCUCACCAAGGCGACGAUGCGUAGCCGACCUGAGAGGGUGAUCGGCCACAUUGGGACUGAGACACGGCCCAGACUCCUACGGGAGGCAGCAGUGGGGAAUAUUGCACAAUGGACGAAAGUCUGAUGCAGCAACGCCGCGUGGAGGAUGACACAUUUCGGUGCGUAAACUCCUUUUAUAUGGGAAGAUAAUGACGGUACCAUAUGAAUAAGCACCGGCUAACUCCGUGCCAGCAGCCGCGGUAAUACGGAGGGUGCAAGCGU
rnacentral:rRNA from 1 species